AUUGAACGCUGGCGGCAUGCCUUACACAUGCAAGUCGAACGGCAGCACGGACUUCGGUCUGGUGGCGAGUGGCGAACGGGUGAGUAAUAUAUCGGAACAUACCCUAGAGUGGGGGAUAACGUAGCGAAAGUUACGCUAAUACCGCAUACGAACUAAGGUUGAAAGCGGGGGAUCUUCGGACCUCGUGCUCAUGGAGUGGCCGAUAUCUGAUUAGCUAGUUGGUGAGGUAAAGGCUCACCAAGGCGACGAUCAGUAGCUGGUUUGAGAGAACGACCAGCCACACUGGAACUGAGACACGGUCCAGACUCCUACGGGAGGCAGCAGUGGGGAAUUUUGGACAAUGGGCGCAAGCCUGAUCCAGCAAUGCCGCGUGAGUGAAGAAGGCCUCGG
rnacentral:rRNA from 1 species